rnacentral:rRNA from 1 species
CCGGCACGGGUGAGUAACACGUAUCCAACCUGCCGUCUACUCUUGGCCAGCCUUCUGAAAGGAAGAUUAAUCCAGGAUGGCAUCAUGAGUUCACAUGUCCGCAUGAUUAAAGGUAUUUCCGGUAGACGAUGGGGAUGCGUUCCAUUAGAUAGUAGGCGGGGUAACGGCCCACCUAGUCAACGAUGGAUAGGGGUUCUGAGAGGAAGGUCCCCCACAUUGGAACUGAGACACGGUCCAA